rnacentral:lncRNA from 1 species
AUGACUGCAGCCCUGAGGGAAGAGCUGAGGAACACUCUGGGCAACCUCACAGGGGCCGAUUUUAAGAGGUUCAAGCACCUCCUUCGGGACCAGGGCCAAAUCCCAUGGGGAAAACUGGAGAAGGCCGACAUAAACGACACUGUGGACUUGAUGGUAGAGAUGUACUGCAUGAAAGCUGGGGACGUCAUGUUGACCAUCUUGAAGAAGAUGAACCACAACCAGUUGGCCAUGGAGAACGAUCUGGAAGAAUCCCUGAGGGAAGUGAAGAGAGUGCUGAGGAACACUCUGGGCAACCUCACGGAUGCCGAUUUCAAGACGUCCAAGCACCGCCUUCGGGACCAGGAUGACAAAAUCCCAUGGGGACAGCUGGAGAAGGCCGACAGAGAUGACACUGUGGACUUGCUGGUGCAGGUGUACAGCACGGAAGCUGGGGACAACAUGUUGACCAUCUUGAAGGAGAUUAACCAAAACCAGUCGGCCAUAGACUUGGAGAAAGAUCUGGAAGAAUGUGAGUGUGUAGCUCAUAGUCUCUGAUGAGGCAUCUGUGUAUGUAGGAGGAAUUACAUGUAUUCAUCGUAUCUGUUUCUGCUAACACUCUCUCUCUCUCUCUCUCUGACUUUCUCUCUGCUGACUUUCUCUGGGACUCUUUCUGUUUCAUUUAAUCUCUGUCUCCUUUUCUUUCCCACCUCUUUUUCUCUCUCAUUCAUCCCCUCUUUCUGUCUCCUCCCUCUGUCUGACUGGGUAUCUAUCUGUCUCUUCGUUCUCUCUAUCUUUCUCUGUGCCACUCUCCCCCUCUCUCUUCCUUUCAUCUCUCUCACUCUCUCUCUCUGACCCCCCCUCUCUCCAACUCUCUCCUCCCUCUGUCUGACUGAGCUUAAUCUAAGAUUAAGGUGUCAUAUGAAAUAUAAACAACCAGUUAUUUCCUCAUUUCACCAUAUUACAUCAGAAUUUUGUUGUCUUCAGAUGACAAGGCAGCAGAGGAGGUUAAAAAGAAGAAAACAUCACUAAAAUUGAAGCUUCGGGAGCACCUGAAGAAAAGGUUUUCUUUUGUAAAUCAACAGUCUGUACAAGAUAUCUACACUGAGCUUAACAUUGUAGAGGGCCGCACAGGUGGAGUCAACAAAACUC